GGAGCCUCCAAGACUGAACUAGCUCUGUGAGGCUCCUCCAAAUCCUCCCAGAGACUAGCCAGCCUACCCUGCCAGGGUUGCCGAUGAGCACCCCGAAGCCUGCAGUCCCUCUUGCCUCUGACCGUCUUUCACUCCCCUCCGGCUCUCUCUACCUCUCCAGGGCCAGGCUUUGGAGAUGAUGAUCUUAGGCCCACCCAAGACAAGAAGCCCUGAUACAUGUACACCCAGGGAAGAACGAGUGACACACAUUAAGGGCUCAGCCACAAAGGUAAAAAGCCUGUGAGAGCAUCCAGUCCAUCCCGGACAUUCUCAGAAAUACAAGCAAGGAACACAGCAUGGAGCCCAGCACCAGG
rnacentral:lncRNA from 1 species